rnacentral:rRNA from 1 species
GACGAACGCUGGCGGCGUGCUUAACACAUGCAAGUCGAACGGAAAGGCCUCUUUCGGGGGGUACUCGAGUGGCGAACGGGUGAGUAACACGUGAGUAACCUGCCCUUGACUUUGGGAUAACUUCAGGAAACUGGGGCUAAUACCGGAUAGGAGCUCCUGCUGCAUGGUGGGGGUUGGAAAGUUUCGGCGGUUGGGGAUGGACUCGCGGCUUAUCAGCUUGUUGGUGGGGUAGUGGCUUACCAAGGCUUUGACGGGUAGCCGGCCUGAGAGGGUGACCGGCCACAUUGGGACUGAGAUACGGCCCAGACUCCUACGGGAGGCAGAGGUGGGGAAUAUUGCACAAUGGGUGGAAGCCUGAUGCAGCAACGCCGUGUGCGGGAUGACGGCCUUCGGGUUGUAAACCGCUUUCGCUCAUGACGAAGCUUUGUGUGACGGUAGUGGGUAAAGAAGCACCGGCUAACUACGUG